UGCGCGGCCUAGCGGAUAACGCUGCUGUCUUAGAAACUUGGGUCGCGGGUUCGAACCCCACACGGGCAA